GGGCCGUUAGCUCAGCUGGUAGAGCGUCCCCAUGGCAUGGGGAAGGCCAGCGGUUCAAAUCCGCUACGGUCCA
rnacentral:tRNA from 3 species